rnacentral:rRNA from 1 species
GUGCCAGCCGCCGCGGUAAUACGGAGGGUGCAAGCGUUAAUCGGAAUUACUGGGCGUAAAGCGCACGCAGGCGGUCUGUUAAGUCAGAUGUGAAAUCCCCGGGCUUAACCUGGGAACUGCAUUUGAAACUGGCAGGCUUGAGUCUCGUAGAGGGGGGUAGAAUUCCAGGUGUAGCGGUGAAAUGCGUAGAGAUCUGGAGGAAUACCGGUGGCGAAGGCGGCCCCCUGGACGAAGACUGACGCUCAGGUGCGAAAGCGUGGGGAGCAAACAGGAUUAGAUACCCUGGUAGUCCACGCCGUAAACGAUGUCGACUUGGAGGUUGUGCCCUUGAGGCGUGGCUUCCGGAGCUAACGCGUUAAGUCGACCGCCUGGGGAGUACGGCCGCAAGGUUAAAACUCAAAUGAAUUGACGGGGGCCCGCACAAGCGGUGGAGCAUGUGGUUUAAUUCGAUGCAACGCGAAGAACCUUACCUGGCCUUGACAUCCAGAGAACUUAGCAGAGAUGCUUUGGUGCCUUCGGGAACUCUGAGACAGGUGCUGCAUGGCUGUCGUCAGCUCGUGUUGUGAAAUGUUGGGUUAAGUCCCGCAACGAGCGCAACCC